GCCGGUGUAGUUCAACGGUCAGAACGAGGGACUCAUAAGCCUUAAACGGUGGUUCGACUCCACCCAUCGGCACAA
rnacentral:tRNA from 1 species